UUGAGAGAGAGAGCAUGACCCAUGGAGUGGGUGGGGAGAAGCAGAGGGAGAGGGACAAACAGUAUCCCUGUUGAGCAGGGAGCCUGAUGCAGGUCUCGAUCCCAGGACCCCGAGAUCAUGACCUGAGCGGAAGGCAGACACUUAACUGACUGAGCCACCCAGGCACCCCUCAAUAGUUACUUGUUUAAUGGGUAAAUGAAGCAAGCUUAAGGUCAUGGGCCCAAUGUCUUCAUCUUGCAGAAGAGAAAACUGAGGCCCAGUAGGGUUAAGAUGCCCCAAUGUCAAUUCAGUUGCGCCAAACACCACUGCCAUGAGCUUUUUCUCCAGUAGCUUCUUCCUUAAUUCUCAAGGGUCUUUGGAAGUAACAUAUGGAAAUGGUCUGCCUUUCUAUUUAGGAAGAAGGACUAUUUCCUGUUUCUGAAGAGUUAUAGCACCAAAAAUAUGUGAUGUGCACUCUCAUGAGCUAAAGUGAGUUUGCUCACUUGGGCUGAAAAUGGAAAAUACACAGAUGCACAUAUAAACACCCUGAAAAGAAAAUAAAAUAGGCUAACACGUGGGUAAGGAAUGAUCAUAUAAAAUGAUAUCAUCCUGUUGGGUGUCAGCUAUCCAGGGAGACACUAUAACUGGGACAUAUCUAUUGAUUUCAGAGGAGAAAUCCUCCCCUCUAAAUUCUGAAGGAAGAAUAAGGGGGCCCAGGAAGAGUCAGUGUGGAGUCGUGGACUGGGUCUGAAGAGACGUGUGAAGGGUCCAAUACAGUAUUUGCUCUGUUAGGGGUAGUUCUAUCACCAUCCGCAAAGAUGGAUUAUUCUAGCUGAGGACUCACUUCUGUGUUUCACUGACUCCCACUGGUUUUCUCAUAUUUAUCCCAUGAGAUAGGACAGGAGAUGACUCAUACUAAGUAGCAAAAUGAACCAGUGUGCUAGCUCUGGUAAAAGGUUAUGCAGAGCGGUAAGGAGCUAAUAAUAAUUUUUAUAACAGCUACUAUCUCACUCAUUUUACAUGUUCCAUGUCCCAGGCCAUGUGCUAAGGUCUUAGAUGUAUUACCUCAUUCAAUUGUAUAAGGUUGGAAUUAUUUUUGUUCUGCUUAACACAUAAGGAAGCAACCACUUGAUCCUAUGAGGAAGAACUAUUUUUAUUCCUAUUUUACAAAUGACAAAAAGAAAUUUGAAGAGGUCAAGUGACUUGUCCAAGGUUGCUGAGAUGGCAAAGGAAUACAGCUAGAAUUUCAGCUGUGGCAUAUGGUCUGAAUGCAAAUGUGAUAAAAAAGUCAAGUGCCAAAAGUGAUAAAAUAAUCCAGGAUGCUGGAUGGAUAAAAUAAAUUAGAGCUGGUAGGUUUUUGGUGACUGGCAGUUGUUCACAUUGUCUUUAGCUCUUUGCUUUUGAUAACUGACUGUAACAAAUAUGUAUUAAUAAUUAACAGAGUGUAUUUGUAUUAAUUAAAGGGAGUGGGCUUUAAGAGAAAGACACUUGGAAAAAAAAAAAAGAGAAGACACUUGGGAAAGUGCAAAUUACUGUCAUGGCCAUGAUGAUCCUAUAAAGUGAAGUUCCAAGCACUGAGUAUUCUGUGCUCUCUGCACACUGUCUUGCAUCUAAAAGACAGGGACUGCAUUGUUUCUAUUUCAUUAAAUGAAAAAGUAUAUAUAAAAAGAUUGUGGUUUAGGCUAUGCCCAGUGCCUGGCACAAAGUAGGCACUUAAUUACAAAAUACUCCCUUAUGUACCUUUAUUUCCCUAAUACCUCCCCCAGUUCUUGGCAUAUAGAUGUUAAACACAUACUGGCUAUUUGUUAUUUUUUAACUAGUAAGCACUUAUUACUUAAUAAAAGCUAGUAUUUAUUGGGGCUCCAUGCUAAGCAUUUCCAGGCAAUAUCGCUUCUACCCAUUACACUUACCUAGUGAAGUAUAUAGUUAACAUCUCCAUUUAAGAAUGGGCAUUCCUUUAACCGAAGAGAAAACAGAUCCAGAGGUUAAAUACUUCCCCCAACAACACUAAGCUAUCAAGCAGUUAAGUGCCAGAGCCAGGGGUUUGAAUAAAUGGGUUCUCAGAAUCUCUUUCCCCAGUUUCCUAUCCAACCAAGGAGGAUGGUAUCUGUCACUCCCCAAGUGAUCUGUAGGCCACGACUUAAAGCUUGACACUUCUUAGAAAUCUAAUUUCUUUAAAAACCUUAUACCAUCUUUGCUUUCUAACAUGUCCACGGUUAUUUCAAUCUAAGAGAAUAUUUUUAAACCACCGACUAGUUUUCAUUACUUAACUCACUCUCUCCCCUAAUCUUCACAUCACCUGGUGCUUCAGAAAGAUGCAUCAUAAUUUAUUGUGUGACUUCUCAUUCUCCUGGAAGACCACACAUGCCUCCAGGAUUAUACAGGCUCCAGGCUGAGCAGGAAGCUGGUAAGCUUCCUGGGGGAAGUGAGUUGUGAACUAGAAUUUAACUGACUGGCAGAGGGAAAACAAGGGCCUGGAUUGUAUAGCUCUUCUUCCAUCUGUCCCCAACCCCUACCCCUAAGUCUUUUCUCAUUUUAUCCCCUAGUAGAGCAGAGUGGAGAUCAGACACAGAAUCGAGAAUACAGCAGAUCCUCAGUGGCAAACAAAUGAAUGAGUGACUGGGCAGAUGGAUGAGGUCAGUUAGUGAUGGGCAUGAGCAUCCUUUGGAAAGGCCAAUGGCCUGAGAGAAGACUAAGGAGGGCUUUUAUAUUAUAAAGGGGCUCCCUGGAGAAGGAGGCUACAGCCAAGGACACCACAGCCUUAACACUUCCAUGAGUCCUUUCUAGACUUUCUUAGGCUAUUAUUGAUGCUGCUGUGAUUCCUAAAUGUCAAUCAGUUUGGGAGUAUCUUCUGCCACUAGCAAUAGGCACUCAUAAUCAACUGGGAAGAUAAGUGGGAGGCCCUAGAGAUAGUCUGGUCAUUCUUCCCAUUUUACAGAUAAGGAAACUGAGGCACAGAGAGGGAAAAUGAAUGACCCAAGGUCACAUGGUUUGAUGGAGCUGUUGUUCACUGCAUAUCCAACAUAUCUAUUUCCUGUUCCUUGUUCCUUCAAAGCAGAGCUCCAGUUUUGUUUGAUAUUGGGUGGCCAUGGUGUAAGAGAAUACCCUACCUACCCUCCUCUGUCCCAAGAGAAUGAGUCUUGAUUAGUUUCAGCCAACCACAAUUCUACCCUUUCUGCCAGUGACUGGUUUGGGGAUGAGCCCUGAUAUGACACUAACUGAUAUAACCUGAAGGGAAACUUGUUGGUAGGGGCUUUGGGGAAGGUUUUCUUUCAUCUUAAGGAGCCAUGAUAGGGAAGGUUAUAAUCUUAAGAUUCUGUGGUUUUGGAGUUUGUUGGAUGAGGGCAGAAUGCUUGGAGUAAUUGCAGCCAAAAAGGGUCAUGUUGAAGACAAAUGCCAAUACACUAUGGAUGGCACAGCGGAUGGUGUAAAGAGCUCAAGCCCAUGAUGGCAUUGCUGAGUCAGUGGAUUAGCCAGCCCUGAAACUCCUUUACCUCUGGACUUUUCAUCAACUGAGGUAACAAAAUGUCCUUACUGUUUAAAAUAGUUUACUUGGGUUUUCUGUUAUCUGUCUCCCAAAGCAUCCACACAGCCAGGUAAGAUCAGAUUCCCAAAGCAGUGUUUACAUGACUUCUUGGAAUGGCUGGAGUGAUCCCUGUGACUACCAGAAAGUAAUAGGGGAAUAAAGAAGUGUUUGGGAUCGUCAAUGUAGUAGCAGCUGGAUCGAGCUCCUAUACAAACUGGGGACUCCAAGGAAGAUCUCACAGGUGGGCCUGAGAUUUGGACUUGAACCCUGCAAUCAGUAAGAUUAAGGCUUCAUAUGACAGGAAACAAAAUGAUAGUUUCCACCUCCAAGGUGCUAUUCUUUCCAUAAUACUUGUUAACAGUGGCAGUUCCAUGAAGUCCUCAGGGAUUCAAACUCCUUCCACAUCUCUGAUCCAUCAUUACUAGGGUGUAGCUCUCACUUGUAUGUCAAAAAUGGAUGUUAGCCAUCAUCACAUCUAAAUCUCAGGCAGACAAACAGAGCAGGAAGA
rnacentral:lncRNA from 1 species